rnacentral:rRNA from 1 species
AACGAACGCUGGCGGCAGGCCUAACACAUGCAAGUCGAGCGCGCCCUUCGGGGUGAGCGGCGGACGGGUGAGUAACGCGUGGGAACGUGCCCUUCUCUGCGGAAUAGCCUCGGGAAACUGAGAGUAAUACCGCAUACGCCCUUUGGGGGAAAGAUUUAUCGGAGAAGGAUCGGCCCGCGUUGGAUUAGGUAGUUGGUGGGGUAAUGGCCCACCAAGCCGACGAUCCAUAGCUGGUUUGAGAGGAUGAUCAGCCACACUGGGACUGAGACACGGCCCAGCCUCCUACGGGAGGCAGCAGUGGGGAAUCUUAGACAAUGGGGGCAACCCUGAUCUAGCCAUGCCGCGUGAGUGACGAAGGCCUUAGGGUUGUAAAGCUCUUUCAGCUGGGAAGAUAAUGACGGUACCAGCAGAAGAAGCCCCGGCUAACUCCGUG